rnacentral:tRNA from 1 species
AGAGAAAGACGACUGAAUUUGAAGAGAUUCAACAAAAAAUGUGUUUUACUUGUGCUGUCCAUCUUAUUUUAUAAUCUAUCAUGUUAGAGUCUCGUAGCUCAGCUGGUUAGAGCGCUACACUGAUAAUGUAGAGGUCGGCAGUUCUAGUCUGCCCGAGACUACUACUUUGAUUUAUAAUCAGAGGAUUAUUACAAAUGAUAGACUAAAUAACGGGAAUUUAGGGUUGAGAAACUAUAAAUCAACCUUCUAUAACCAGAACGGGGGAUUAGCUCAGCUGGCUAGAGCGCCUGCCUUGCACGCAGGAGGUCAUCGGUUCGACUCCGAUAUUCUCCACUACAGUUUUAUUUAAGCUGGAACGUUCAUUGACAUAUUGAAAUAUUUAAGAUACAUAAAAUUAAAAGGUAUAAAUCAUUAAUCGAGCCGAUUUAUGAUUUGUACGAGCAAAGUAAAAAUUACAAUUUUAAGAGAAAGUAAAGUUAC